AUUUAUUUGGCUUCAAUUAUGAAUAUCAAUAUCAAAGGUCUGUAAAAAUUGUUGUUAAGUUGUUUCGUGAUACAUCUAUCAUUCAAAUAUGACGUGCACCAAGAGUGAACAUUCCCUGAAAUACCAAAAUCCGUACUGAAAGUCGAUCAAGCAGUAUAUACUAUGAUCCACGACAGUCCACGGUAUCAAAAGCCGCACUGAGAUCAAGUAACGCCAGUAGAGUGACUCGUUGCCGGUUCAUGUUGAGUAAGAUGUCAUUCUUGACUCGAAGGUGAGCAGCUUCAACACUAUGAAGUUCAAGGUAUGCGGGCUGUGCUUCAGGAUAGAUUCGGUGGACUGUAAGAUGUUUAUGCAUGAGUUUGUCCAGUUACAGCUCGUCCAGUAAGCUUAGAAGCAAGCUAUGGGGCGAAGGUUGGAAAAUAUCUCCUCAGCACUUGGUUUCUUGAAUCCGGGUCUAACAUCAGCAAGUUUCCAAUUUUCUGGAAAGCAGCCAGAUUGCAGGGACAGAUUUGUUAUUCUUGUAAGGAUAGGAAGAAGAACAUCCAAACACUUAACCACAAGGGGGGGAGGCAUAGGAUCUAGCGAGUAAGAUUUCCUGCUUGAUUUAGCAAUUAAGCGCAUGGCAUUGUCAUCACUGAGAGUUUUAAAGGAGUCAAAACGAGCCGAACAAGUACUGCGUUGCUGCGGAGUUAGAGUAGAGUCAGUAGCUGCUUCAUCAUGCAAGUUUAGCGCGAAUGCGCUGUAUCUUCUGCAUAAUAAAAUUUCCUCAAUAUCAUUUGCUAAUAUAAUGUUAUCAUGAUAUCCAUUGAAAGACAGGUCUGUCUCCUGAUCGAACAGUGUCUUUGUGGACCUGAACAGCUUGCGUUGGUCAUGGCUGUUCUCAUCUAUAAAGCAUGUGUAGCAUUUUCUCCGCGCCUGCUUCAUCACGGCAGUGGUACGGUUCUGUUUAGGGCCUUGAAAGUCAAAAAGUCACUGUGCAACUUUAUUCUGGGCCACUUAACUUCCUCUCAGCCCUCCAGCGAUCGGAUUUGACCUCAUUGGUGAACCAGGAGACAGUAGGUCGUUUGGUAGUUGUUUUAUUGAGCACCGGUGCAUAUAUGACGGUCUAAGGCUGAUUUUAGGGUAUCAUUAUAGCACUCAGCCAAG